rnacentral:rRNA from 1 species
AUGAGCAUCAUAGUGACCAAGUCAUCGCCGGUGGUUGUCACCGGCCCAUCGGAGCUGGGGACGGCAACCGGUGGCAUCAUCAACCUCUCCUCUUUCGACAAAUGUUUCGCUCCUGUUCCUGUCGGGCUGCUUCUCAUUUUCGACCAGCCAAUCAACGAGCCCAUUGAGACAAUCAAGAAGGCUCUGUCGCAGGCACUGGUGCUCUACCAACCUAUGGCUGGCCACCUCGUUACCGGACCCGACGGCGAGCCGAUCCACAUCUUGUGCACGGGAGAGGGCGUCUCGUUCGUGGGCGCAUCGGCCAACUGUGCGCUGGACCAAUUCACAACAUCCACGCUGCUGCUUGGGGACCUCGCCGUCCGCUACCCUGCCGAGUACUGCCUUCCCGGUGACCCCAUGCUGCUGAUGCAGGUGACCGAGUUCGCCUGCGGCGGGUUCGUCGUGGGCGUGACGUGGAACCACGUCCUGGCCGACGCCGCGGGGAUGGUGCAGUUUCUGCAGGCCGUCGGCGAGCUCGCCCGAGGGAUGCCAGCGCCGUCCGUCCUUCCGGUCAGGUCCGAAGCCGAAUGCACCUUCCCGCGCCUCCCACCGCCGUUCGUCACCGCGAUGAGGACUCGGAUGCUCGCCGGGAUGGUGGAAAAGGCGAGCAUCGACGUCACCAUCUCAUGGAGCUUCAUCAGCUGCAUCAAAGCCGAGUGCGGUGGCGACUGCACGGUGUUCGAUGCCGUCGCGGCCGUGCUCUGGCAGUGCCGCACCCGCGCGGUCAUCUCCGACCCCGACACGCCGGCGCCCCUCGUCUUCUCCAGCAACAUGCGGGGGCUUGUACGUGCAAAGCGCGGCUACUACGGCAACUGCGUCAUGGGGCAGCCGGUCCAGGCGCAGAGCGGCAUGGUGGCCAGCAGCGACAUCAAGGACCUGGUGAAGCUCAUCAGGCUCGCCAAGGAGAAGAUACCGGACAUACUCACCAACAACGGCGGCGGUGGGGAUCAACAACAGCAGGUGGCCCCCCCGAAGUACAACCAGCUUGUUGUGACGAGCUUGAGGAACCUUGGGCUCAACGCUGUGGACUUUGGGCGUGGGGGGCCGGUGCGGGUGGUGCCGCCGCCGUCACCACCAGAGCGGACGGCCAUGAACAUCUGCAUCUUGUGCCCGCCAUGCAAGGGCAAGGACGGCGUCAACGUCGUGUCCCUCUGCGUCAAGCCGGAGCAUGCCGAUGCCUUCCGACGGGAGUUGGCCGCCAUACACAUGCACAUGAACUUGCACCUCCUUGCACGUUUCUAG